rnacentral:rRNA from 1 species
GAUGAACGCUGGCGGUAUGCUUAACACAUGCAAGUCGAACGGACUCUUCGGAGUUAGUGGCGGACGGGUGAGUAACGCGUGAGAAUCUGGCUUUGGGUUCGGGACAACCACUGGAGACGGUGGCUAAUACCGGUUGUGCCGAGAGGUAAAAGAGAAAUUGCCUGAAGAUGAGCUCGCGUCUGAUUAGCUAGUUGGUGAGGUAAAGGCUCACCAAGGCAGCGAUCAGUAGCUGGUCUGAGAGGAUGACCAGCCACACUGGGACUGAGACACGGCCCAGACUCCUGCGAGAGACAGCAGUGGAGAAUUGUCCGCAAUGGGCGAGAGCCUGACAGAGAAAUACCGCGUGAGAGAAGAAGGCUCUUGUGGUGUAAACCUCUUUUCUGAGGGAAGAACAAAAUGACGGUACCUAAGGAAUCAGCAUCGGCUAACUCCGUG